rnacentral:rRNA from 1 species
GACAGAGGGUGCAAACGUUGUUCGGAAUUACUGGGCGUAAAGCGCGUGUAGGCAGCUUGGACAGUCGGGUGUGAAAGCCCUGGGCUCAACCUAGGAAGUGCACUCGAAACUACUGAGCUUGAGUCCUGGAGAGGAAGGCGGAAUUCUCGGUGUAGAGGUGAAAUUCGUAGAUAUCGAGAGGAACACCGGUGGCGAAGGCGGCCUUCUGGACAGUGACUGACGCUGAGACGCGAAAGCGUGGGGAGCAAACAGG